GACGAAGCCGUGCGAACGUUGUUCGGAAUCACUGGGCUUAAAGGGCGCGUAGGCGGGCUGCCAAGUCUGGGGAUGAAACGUCCUCCCGGCUCAACCGGACGAACUGCCUUAGAUACUGGCGAUCGUCGAGGAGGGUAGGGGCAUGCGGAACUAUGGGUGGAGCGGUGAAAUGCGUUGAUAUCCAUAGGAACUCCGGUGGCGAAGCGGCGUGCUGGACCCUUUCUGACGCUGAGGCGCGAAAGCCAGGGGAGGCAAAAGGG
rnacentral:rRNA from 1 species